GCGGGCGUAGCUCAGCGGUAGAGUCCCAGCCUUCCAAGCUGGCUGUCGUGGGUUCAACUCCCACCGCCCGCUCCA
rnacentral:tRNA from 4 species